rnacentral:rRNA from 1 species
GGAAUCUUCGGCAAUGGGGGCAACCCUGACCGAGCAACGCCGCGUGAGUGAAGAAGGUUUUCGGAUCGUAAAACUCUGUUGUUAGAGAAGAACACGAGUGAGAGUAACUGUUCAUACGUUGACGGUAUUUAACCAGAAAGUCACGGCUAACUACGUGCCCG